GACGAACGCUGGCGGCGUGCUUAACACAUGCAAGUCGAACGGAAAGGCCCUGCUUUUGUGGGGUGCUCGAGUGGCGAACGGGUGAGUAACACGUGAGUAACCUGCCCUUGACUUUGGGAUAACUUCAGGAAACUGGGGCUAAUACCGGAUAGGAGCUCCUGCUGCAUGGUGGGGGUUGGAAAGUUUCGGCGGUUGGGGAUGGACUCGCGGCUUAUCAGCUUGUUGGUGGGGUAGUGGCUUACCAAGGCUUUGACGGGUAGCCGGCCUGAGAGGGUGACCGGCCACAUUGGGACUGAGAUACGGCCCAGACUCCUACGGGAGGCAGCAGUGGGGAAUAUUGCACAAUGGGCGGAAGCCUGAUGCAGCAACGCCGCGUGCGGGAUGACGGCCUUCGGGUUGUAAACCGCUUUCGCCUGUGACGAAGCGUGAGUGACGGUAAUGGGUAAAGAAGCACCGGCUAACUACGUGCCAGCAGCCGCGGUGAUACGUAGGGUGCGAGCGUUGUCCGGAUUUAUUGGGCGUAAGGGGCUCGUAGGUGGUUGAUCGCGUCGGAAGUGUAAUCUUGGGGCUUAACCCUGAGCGUGCUUUCGAUACGGGUUGACUUGAGGAAGGUAGGGGAGAAUGGAAUUCCUGGUGGAGCGGUGGAAUGCGCAGAUAUCAGGAGGAACACCAGUGGCGAAGGCGGUUCUCUGGGCCUUUCCUGACGCUGAGGAGCGAAAGCGUGGGGAGCGAACAGGCUUAGAUACCCUGGUAGUCCACGCUGUAAACGGUGGGUACUAGGUGUGGGGUCCAUUCCACGGGUUCCGUGCCGUAGCUAACGCUUUAAGUACCCCGCCUGGGGAGUACGGCCGCAAGGCUAAAACUCAAAGGAAUUGACGGGGCCCCGCACAAGCGGCGGAGCAUGCGGAUUAAUUCGAUGCAACGCGUAGAACCUUACCUGGGUUUGACAUGGAUCGGGAGUGCUCAGAGAUGGGUGUGCCUCUUUUGGGGUCGGUUCACAGGUGGUGCAUGGCUGUCGUCAGCUCGUGUCGUGAGAUGUUGGGUUAAGUCCCGCAACGAGCGCAACCCUUGUUCACUGUUGCCAGCACGUUAUGGUGGGGACUCAGUGGAGACCGCCGGGGUCAACUCGGAGGAAGGUGGGGAUGACGUCGAGUCAUCAUGCCCCUUAUGUCCAGGGCUUCACGCAUGCUACAAUGGCUGGUACAGAGAGUGGCGAGCCUGUGAGGGUGAGCGAAUCUCGGAAAGCCGGUCUCAGUUCGGAUUGGGGUCUGCAACUCGACCUCAUGAAGUCGGAGUCGCUAGUAAUCGCAGAUCAGCAACGCUGCGGUGAAUACGUUCCCGGG
rnacentral:rRNA from 1 species